GUAGGGAAUAUUGGGCAAUGGUCGGAAGACUGACCCAGCCAUGCCGCGUGCAGGAAGACGGCCCUCUGGGUUGUAAACUGCUUUUAUCUGGGAAGAAAAAGGCCAUGCGUGGCAAAUUGCCGGUACCAGAUGAAUAAGCACCGGCUAACUCCGUGCCAGCAGCCGCGGUAAUACGGAGGGUGCGAGCGUUGUCCGGAUUUAUUGGGUUUAAAGGGUGCGUAGGCGGCUGAUUAAGUCAGCGGUGAAAGACUUCGGCUUAACCGGAGCAGUGCCGUUGAUACUGGUUGGCUUGAGUGUCGGAAGGGUACAUGGAAUUGAUGGUGUAGCGGUUAAAUGCAUAGAUACCAUCAGGAACACCGAUAACGAAGGCAUUGUACUUGCCGACAACUGACGCUGAUGCACGAAAGUGUGGGGAUCGAACAGGAUUAGAAACCCCAGUAGUCC
rnacentral:rRNA from 1 species